ACCAUAUACUAAUAUUCAACAGAUACGUAUCCGUGUAUAGGACUCGGUAAAAAGUACAAAAAUAUAUACUCCACAAUAUUUUGGUAUAAUUUAGUUUCUGAAUGGUGGAAGACAAGACAUAUGAUGAUUGUUGCCUGUGAGCCUUGAUUUGCAACUGUAAAGUCGAGCCGGCGUGCCCCUUCACCUCUCUUUGACAUUCAAUUGUGGCACUACUUCGUCACUUGAAAUCUGUAUCGUCUAAAUUUUCUCAACUGGAAACAUCUUUUCGAAAAUCUCACUUCAAAUCCUAAUGGUGCCUUAACUUCUUCGUAUUAAAUACCCACAAUCCAAAUCAUCAUCAUACAUUAAUUGGGUUGUUUUUCUUCUUUGCGAUCAUAAUUUGGGUAAUUUCAGUCUGCUUGAUUUACUGAAGAUAACUUUCACUCUCUCGGCAAGAAAGAAGAGAAAAUUAUUGUUUAGGAGUGUUAAAAAGAAAAUAAAGUUGGUUCAGAUUUUAGAACAUAAUGAAGAGACAUCAUCAACUGGAGGCGCAUAAUAAUGUUAUGAACAGGAGAUAUAAGCAACAAUAUCUUCCAGGAAAGAUGUUUGGUCAAUAUUCUUUUAUAAACAUUACGGUGGGAAGAGAACUGGAUGAUGAUCAUAUAAACAACAAAAGAAAUAUGUUUUGAUUAAUAUUGUGCAACGUCUACACAAAGAAUGGCAAUGCUAUAGAAAAAAGCUUUGUGUGUGUGUGGCAUCUUCUACAGUAGCUCAAGUUCAGGAGAUUGAGAGAAGACUUUGGGAAAGAAAUGAGAAGGUCAGUAACUUAGAGUUGAAGGUGAAACAUAUUGAAGAAA